rnacentral:rRNA from 1 species
UACGAAGGGUGCAAGCGUUACUCGGAAUCACUGGGCUUAAAGCGUGUGUAGGCGGAUCCGUAAGUACCUUGUGAAACCCCACGGCUCAACCGUGGAACUGCUUGGUAUACUGCGGGUCUUGAGCCACCUAGGGGCGAGCGGAACAAGUGGUGGAGCGGUGAAAUGCGUAGAUAUCACUUGGAACGCCAAUGGUGAAAACAGCUCGCUGGGGGUGUGCUGACGCUGAGACACGAAAGCCAGGGGAGCAAACGGG